GACGAACGCUGGCGGCGUGCUUAACACAUGCAAGUCGAACGGAAAGGCCCUGCUUUUGUGGGGUGCUCGAGUGGCGAACGGGUGAGUAACACGUGAGUAACCUGCCCCUGACUUUGGGAUAACUUUAGGAAACUGGGGCUAAUACCGGAUAGGAGCUCCUGCUGCAUGGUGGGGGUUGGAAAGUUUCGGCGGUUGGGGAUGGACUCGCGGCUUAUCAGCUUGUUGGUGGGGUAGUGGCUUACCAAGGCUUUGACGGGUAGCCGGCCUGAUAGGGUGACCGGCCACAUUGGGACUGGGGUACGGCCCAGACUCCUACGGGAGGCAGCGGUGGAGACUAGUGCACAAAAGGCGGAAGCGUGAAGCAGCAACGCCGCGUACGAGAAGACGGCCUUCGGGGAGUAAACAACUUUCACCUAAAACGAAACGUGAGGAACGGAAAUGGGUAAAGAAGCACCGGCUAACUACGU
rnacentral:rRNA from 1 species